CAUAUAUUCGUCGUGGUUUCGUGUACCUAAUAAAUUUGAAGCUAUUAUUGAUUAAGUUCCGAUAAAUGCUUGUGAAUAAAGAUAGUCAAAGCCCCACGUGAAGCUAUAUUCGAAUAUUUGAGGUAAUGCUCAAUUACUUUUACCUUUUUAGACAUAGCGCACGGGUGGAGGUCGGACCCCAUCCCGAAAUUGUAUUUCAUGUUAUCAAUAGUAUUCUCUACAAAGGAACAUAAACA